rnacentral:rRNA from 1 species
GUGAGGAAUAUUGCGCAAUGGAGGCAACUCUGACGCAGCCAUGCCGCGUGCAGGAAGAAGGCGCUACGCGUUGUAAACUGCUUUUAACCGGGAAGAAACCCCAGGACGUGUCCUGGGUUGACGGUACCGGAGGAAUAAGCACCGGCUCACUUCGUGCCAGCAGCCGCGGUAAUACGAAGGGUGCAAGCGUUAUCCGGAUUCAUUGGGUUUAAAGGGUGCGUAGGCGGAGCGUUAAGUCAGUGGUGAAAUCCUGCAGCUUAACUGUAGACUUGCCAUUGAUACUGGCGCUCUUGAGUGCGCUUGAAGUGGGCGGAAUGUGCCGUGUAGCGGUGAAAUGCUUAGAUAUGGCACAGAACACCAAUUGCGAAGGCAGCUCACUAAGGCGAUACUGACGCUGAGGCACGAAAGCGUGGGGAUCGAACAGGAUUAGAUACCCGAGUAGUCC